GUAGGAGGCGAGCGUUAUCCGGAUUCACUGGGCGUAAAGCGCGUGCAGGCGGUUUGGUAAGUUGGUCGUGAAAGCUCCCGGCUCAACUGGGAGAGGUCGUCCAAUACUACCAGACUAGAGAGCAGAAGAGGAAGAUGGAAUUCCCGGUGUAGUGGUGAAAUGCGUAGAUAUCGGGAGGAACACCAGUGGCGAAGGCGAUCUUCUGGUCUGUUUCUGACGCUCAGACGCGACAGCUAGGGUAGUAAACGGGAUUAGAGACCCCGGUAAUCCUAGCCGUAAACGAUGUGAACUUGGCGUUGGUGGCUUAAACACCAUCAGUGCCGAAGCAAACGCGAUAAGUUCACCGCCUGGGGACUACGGCCGCAAGGUUAAA
rnacentral:rRNA from 1 species